rnacentral:rRNA from 1 species
GAUGAACGCUGGCGGCGUGCUUAACACAUGCAAGUCGAACGGGAAACCUUUUAAUGAAGCUUCGGCAGAUUUAGCUGGUUUCUAGUGGCGGACGGGUGAGUAACGCGUGGGUAACCUGCCUUAUACAGGGGGAUAACAGUCAGAAAUGACUGCUAAUACCGCAUAAGCGCACAGGACCGCAUGGUCCGGUGUGAAAAACUCCGGUGGUAUAAGAUGGACCCGCGUUGGAUUAGCUUGUUGGUGGGGUAACGGCUCACCAAGGCGACGAUCCAUAGCCGGCCUGAGAGGGUGAAUGGCCACAUUGGGACUGAGACACGGCCCAGACUCCUACGGGAGGCAGCAGUGGGGAAUAUUGCACAAUGGGGGAAACCCUGAUGCAGCGACGCCGCGUGAAGGAAGAAGUAUCUCGGUAUGUAAACUUCUAUCAGCAGGGAAGAUAGUGACGGUACCUGACUAAGAAGCCCCGGCUAACUACGUG